GAUGAACGCUGGCGGCGUGCCUAAUACAUGCAAGUCGAGCGAACGGACGAGAAGCUUGCUUCUCUGAUGUUAGCGGCGGACGGGUGAGUAACACGUGGAUAACCUACCUAUAAGACUGGGAUCACUUCGGGAAACCGGAGCUAAUCCCGGAUAAUAUUUUGAACCGCAUGGUUCAAAAGUGAAAGACGGUCUUUCUGUCUCUUAUAGAUGGAUCCGCGCUGCAUUAGCUAGUUGGUACGGUAACGGCUUUCCAAGGCAACGAUGCAUAGCCGACCUGAGAGGGGGAUCGGCCACAUGAGAAGGGAGACGCGGUCCAGACUCCUACGGGAGGCAGCAGUAGGGAAUCUUCCGCAAUGGGCGAAAGCCUGACGGAGCAACGCCGCGUGAGUGAUGAAGGUCUUCGGAGCGUAAAACUCUGUUAUUAGGGAAGAACAUAUGUGUAAGUAACUGUGCACAUCUUGACGGUACCUAAUCAGAAAGCCACGGCUAACUACGUG
rnacentral:rRNA from 1 species